UAGUGGCGGCUCCGGCAGCUGCCGCCGUGGUUGAAUCGUUUUAAGUUCUUAACAGAGCCAUCAGUAAGAUACCGCUCUGGAAGAGCCAGAAUUCUAACCUUGUGUCCGGACCUGAGACCAUUGAGAUACCGCUCUGGAAGAGUUAGAAUUCUAACCUUUGUGUCCGGACCCCUGAGACCUGAGACCUGAGUCUGCUGCUAUGUUUAUUAUGAUUAGUGUUUAAUUAUAUGUCUAAGGUAACGGUGAAAGGAGGCUAUGAUGCACUAAUA
rnacentral:lncRNA from 1 species